UACAGAGGUCUCAAGCGUUGUUCGGAUUCAUUGGGCGUAAAGGGUGCGUAGGCGGCGCGGUAAGUCGGGUGUGAAAUCUUGGAGCUUAACUCCGAAACUGCAUUCGAUACUGCCGUGCUUGAGGACUGGAGAGGAGACUGGAAUUUACGGUGUAGCGGUGAAAUGCGUAGAUAUCGUAAGGAAGACCAGUGGCGAAGGCGGGUCUCUGGACAGUUCCUGACGCUGAGGCACGAAGGCCCAGGGGGAGCAAAACGGGGAUUAGAAAACCCC
rnacentral:rRNA from 1 species